rnacentral:rRNA from 1 species
ACCCUUUAAUGGCUGGUGUUCUAACGUGGGCCCCUUAUCGGGGUUGCGGACAGUGUCUGGUGGGUAGUUUGACUGGGGCGGUCUCCUCCCAAAGAGUAACGGAGGAGCACGAAGGUUGGCUAAUCCUGGUCGGACAUCAGGAGGUUAGUGCAAUGGCAUAAGCCAGCUUGACUGCGAGCGUGACGGCGCGAGCAGGUGCGAAAGCAGGUCAUAGUGAUCCGGUGGUUCUGAAUGGAAGGGCCAUCGCUCAACGGAUAAAAGGUACUCCGGGGAUAACAGGCUGAUACCGCCCAAGAGUUCAUAUCGACGGCGGUGUUUGGCACCUCGAUGUCGGCUCAUCACAUCCUGGGGCUGAAGUAGGUCCCAAGGGUAUGGCUGUUCGCCAUUUAAAGUGGUACGCGAGCUGGGUUUAGAACGUCGUGAGACAGUUCGGUCCCUAUCUGCCGUGGGCGCUGGAAGAUUGAGGGGGGCUGCUCCUAGUACGAGAGGACCGGAGUGGACGCAUCACUGGUGUUCGGGUUGUCAUGCCAAUGGCACUGCCCGGUAGCUAAAUGCGGAAGAGAUAAGUGCUGAAAGCAUCUAAGCACGAAACUUGCCCCGAGAUGAAUCUUCCCUGAGACUUUGAGUCUCCUGAAGGAACGUUGAAGACGACGACGUUGAUAGGCCGGGUGUGUAAGCGCAGCGAUGCGUUGAGCUAACCGGUACUAAUGAACCGUGAGGCUUAACCUUACAACGC